rnacentral:tRNA from 1 species
GACCCCAUCGUCUAGCGGUUAGGAUCCCGCCCUUUCACGGCGGUUACAGGGGUUCAAAUCCCCUUGGGGUCGCCA